CCUACGGGUGGCAGCAGUGAGGAAUAUUGGUCAAUGGGCGAGAGCCUGAACCAGCCAAGUCGCGUGAAGGAUGAAGGUUCUAUGGUUUGUAAACUUCUUUUGUCAGGGAAUAAAGUGAGGAACGUGUUCCUUUUUGUAUGUACCUUAUGAAUAAGCAUCGGCUAACUCCGUGCCAGCAGCCGCGGUAAUACGGGGGAUGCAAGCGUUGUCCGGAAUCAUUGGGUGUAAAGGGUUCGUAGGCGGGACGUGAAGUCUGGUGUUAAAGGCAGAGGCUCAACUUCCGUACGGCACUGGAUACUUGCGAGCUAGAAUGCGGUAGAGGUAAGGGGAAUGCGUGGUGUAGCGGUGAAAUGCUUAGAUAUCACGAGGAACACCGAUGGCGUAAGCAGUUUACUGGGGCGCAACUGACGCUGAGGAGCGAAAGCGAGGGUAGCAAACGGGAUUAGAUACCCGAGUAGUC
rnacentral:rRNA from 1 species